GUAAUACGGUAAAUGAUUGGCUAAAAAUGUUUACACAUGCGCAAUUGUAGACGUAUUUGUUGGCAGAGAAGAGAAACUAGUCAAGACAUUGUUGUUUUGAAACGUUUUCCUCCUUCGUAGUAAUAUAAUCUAAAUAGGUUUUGUCCAAACCAUCUACCAAAAUGACACGUGGAAAUCAGCGUGAAAAAGCCAGGGAGAAGAAUCUUAAAAAACAACCAAAAGGUCCUGUUAAGAAGGAUGAAAAAAAUAAGGCUGCAAGUCUGGAAUUAAGGAAAGAGAGAGAUGCUGAAAUUAUGCGUCAGAAACAAUUAAAAAAGGCUGCUGAAGGUGGUGCAUGUGGAGGAAAAUGAAAAGAAAACAGUGAAAAUUAAAGCACUUAUAAUAAUCUACGUAUCGGUGAACUGUAAACUUAAAUCUGUAGAUAUUUGUCAUGGUGAAGAGGGAACUUUUUUACUCCAGAAAGAGAGGAUUUUAUACGUUAUCUUGGUCUGGGAUAACUUGGUUAAUCCAGGACAAUGAGGAAAUUAACAAGGCUAACCUGGUUAAUCCAGAACAAUGAGGGAAUUAACAAGGCUAACCUGGUUAAUCCAGAACAAUGAGGGAAUUAACAAGGCUAACCUGGUUAAUCCAGAACAAUGAGGGAAUUAACAAGCUAACCUGGUUAAUCCAGGACAAACUAGGAGAAAUUUAUUUACCUGGGUAUAUAGAGUCUGGGAUAAACAUGUUCCAUUCUUCACAUUCUCAUCAUUAGGAGGAACAAAAUGAAAUGUUGAUAAAUAAUUUGAAAUAUUUGGUGAAGAUGUUGUUCAUUCUUGGUAUUAAAUAAACAUUUUAACUAGUAGUCUCAAACGUAAGUCAGUGACUGUUUGUUUCAAACAACAUUGGGUUGAAUAUGUAUUUCAUGAUACAGACAACUAUUAAUACUCGUUUGGAUAGAUUUUAUGUGCCAUUGGUCACCAUCUAUUCUAUAGAUAAGGUGUAUUUGUGUCAGUGAUGGCCUGUUAGUUAGUAGUGUUACAACCAUUUCUUGAUCAUGGAGGCAAAUCUGUAUUAUUGAGCAACUGCUGCUGUUUGCAAGAUAUUCAGAAAGACAAGAAAUUUACAUUGGUAAUGCAAGCUUGUUUUGGAAUAUAUAUACAUUGUGUAUAAUAUUUCAUGUGCUGAAAUAUGUACCACAUACUUUAAUAUUUUGUUCUGGUUGAAUUUAAUCAUGAAUUCAGAAUUGGUUUUUAUUAAAAGAUGUGAAAAUAUGGUAUAGUAGAAAAUAUAUGUAUGUUAUAAUUAUUACAAAAGGUAAUAGCAUUACCAACUAUUGACAGGUCUGAUCUGAGUUGGAAACUUGAAAUUUCCUUUCACCAGUAUAUUUCGGUGAUUUGUGUCUAAAAGUUUCUUUUUAAUACAAUUGCUAAUGAUUGAUUUUGACCCUUUCAAAGUCCAAAUUGUAUAAUGAUGUUAUUUGAUGUUUGAAAAAAUAUAUAAAAUAUGGAUUUAAUAGUAAAAAGUAACAAAUUUGAAAUUGAAUAACAUCAGGAAAAUUAAAGAUUAUCUUCCUUGUUCUGUGUCAUGACAUACAGAUGGCAAAGUGGUUUAGAGUCGCCUAGUACAAGUAGAUUCAUUUCUCUUAAGGGAUACAAAGCGAUAAGAUAUGAUAAUGGCCUCAAGAAUUUUCAAAAAGCCUUAUAAUUGCAAUAAACAAGAAAGAUCUAAUCAAGUUUUGCAAUUGUAGCUAUACUUUCUAAAAUCAGAAUCAUGAAAACUGUAUGAAAUGGAGACAAUUGCAUGUAUUUAGAAUUUGGAACAGUUUAGUAUGUGUAUUGGGUUACAUCUAAAUGUCCCAUAAUAAAUAUAAAAAAUGGAGUUGAUAAGAAAAAGAUGGUUGUAAAGAAUGUAUCUAUGCAUGUUUAAAUCUACAUAUUUACACAUGAAUGUACCUUAAAUCUAUUGGCAUUAUCCAUCUCCAAAAUCAACCAUGAUCAAUGUACUGUAUUUGAUUUAUAUACUAGCAUUGGAGGCUAUUUUCAUUUCUUAUUAUAAAUGUAUCUGCUUCUUUGUCUAUUUACUUUUUAUUGGAGCUAAAUGACAGUUAUAUGUAGUGAUCUAGUAACUUUUGUACAGUUUAUAUGUUUAAAUUAUCUUCUUUUUUUUUGGAAAGAAUUUCAAUCCAUUCGGAUGUUUGUCUUGAUGCAAAUACAAAUGUACAUGGAUAAUAGAUUGUCAUGUCUAAUCGAAAUUGUCAAUGAAUAAAACAUGCUUUUGCAAAAAAAAAAAAUGUUUUUUUUUCUUUUAGCACAUCAUCAUAUGGCCUGGUUGGCUGUUCAAUGACAAAUAUCCCAUUGUCCUUGGUCCAUCAUCUGUUGUCCAUCUCUGUAAACAAUUUCUUGAGAUGAACUUCAUGAAUGAAUGUAUGAAUGUAUCUCAUACUUGUUGGUUCCCCCAACAUCCCAUCCCAUCAUGGGUCAAAGUAUGUCGCUGACCUAUAUCAAAAAUGAAUUUUAGUUCACACUUACCUAUAUUCAGACAUUUGACAACUUUGUCAGGGCUGUAGUAUGUACAUAUGUAUCUUUGCAUUCUUGGCUUUAAUUUCGAAAUUUUUUAAUUCACAUCCAUGCUAUUUGCCAAAUCAUGUAUUUCUUAGGCCAUAAGGAAUUUAGGAAAAGUUAUUGUUUUGCACAUUAUAUUUUAUCCUGACCAACAUGUUAGCCUUUCAUGCAACAAGUUAUAUAAUAAGGGCAGAUAUCAAUCUAGAUUUUGCCUAUCGCUGACGUAAAAUCAAUAAAAAAAAUAGCAUUUGACUUUUAAGUGGGUCAAGAUAAUUUGAAUACUAUUACCAUUAAACUCAAACUAUAAGGGAACCUUGCUCUAGUACUUGUAGAUCAUAAGAACAAGUGACCCUGAAAGUUGGUCAAAGUAGUUUAUUUUAAACAAUCUUUGUAUCAUUUUAGUUAUCAUGUGGGUGUCUGUCGGUAAUUUGUUAUAUAUUAACUAUGUCAUUCAAAUUCAUGCUAAAUAAAUUUAUAUAUAUUG